rnacentral:lncRNA from 1 species
UAGAUUUAAUCACAUUUAAACAAUGAGCUAUAAUUUUAAAAAAAAAAAAAAAAAAAGACUAGGCUCCCAGAUAGUAAUUCUGAUCCUCAAGAUUCUUUUGAGAGGGAGAUGUGCUUUGUUAUCUAAUAAUGAAAUCCAGCAUCCAAACCAAUUUCCUUUGGAUUAUCACUUCUAUUUGAGCGAAGCUUCACCUGGAAACCUACUUUGAGAGGCAUGACGUACACCUGCCAAUGAGCAAGUAAGAUUAGUCGCUUCAAAAGGAGAGACUCUUGCAUUGACUUGGAUUACAUGCAAUCGCGGUUGAUGAUGUGGACCCACAUAGGGCUCUUACAAAUAAGGGCAAUGAUGAAUUUGAUUCAUAUGAACCUGAGUCUAGAUAAGAAUUUUCCCUUUAAAAUACAAACGUUCUUGUUGCCAACACAAAGAUGAUUUACUUUACUCAUGAAGAUGCAUUAUGAAUAGCAUUAUGCAUGGAGAGAAAUGUACAAAUUAUUUUGAACUCACUUCUCUUUUUAAUCAAGAAAUAAAAUGGAAGCAAGUAAAUCAAGAUGGUUUCUACAUGGCAGGAAAAUAUGUUAGUGCUCAGGAAGAAGAAAAGAAGAAACCAUAACUUGCACUAACUAUUUAUCUCUCUCCUUUUUUUGGGGGUAAGAACUCUUUCUC